rnacentral:rRNA from 1 species
AACGAACGCUGGCGGCAUGCCUAACACAUGCAAGUCGAACGAGACCUUCGGGUCUAGUGGCUCACGGGUGCGUAACGCGUGGGAACCUGCCCUUAGGUUCGGAAUACUACCCCGAAAGGGGUGCUAAUACAGGAUAAUGUCCUCGGACCAAAGAUUUAUCGCCUUUGGAUGGGCCCGCGUUGGAUUAGCCAGUUGGUAGGGUAAAAGCCUAUCAAGGCGACGAUCGAUAGCUGGUCUGAGAGGAUGAUCAGCCACACUGGGGGUAGGACGCGGCCCGGAAUCCUACGCGAGGGGGCAAUGGGGAAUAUUGGACAAUGGGGUAAGGCCUGAACCAGCAAUGCCGCGUGAGUGAUGAAGGCCGUAAGGUUGUAAAGCUCUUUUACCCGGGAUGAUAAUGACAGUACCGGAAGAAUAAGCACCGGCUAACUCCGUG